rnacentral:rRNA from 1 species
UCGCACCUACCGAUUGAAUGAUUCGGUGAAAAUUUCGGACCGAGACCAUGUGCUCUUCACUGAGCGCAAGGUAGCGGGAAGUUAUUUAAACCUCAUCAUUUAGAGGAAGGUG